rnacentral:rRNA from 1 species
UACGGGAGGCAGCAGUAGGGAAUAUUGGGCAAUGGGCGAGAGCCUGACCCAGCCAUGCCGCGUGCAGGAAGAAGGCUUUCUGAGUCGUAAACUGCUUUUGAUAGGGAAGAAUAACCAGUACGUGUACUGGGAUGACGGUACCUACAGAAUAAGCACCGGCUAACUCCGUGCCAGCAGCCGCGGUAAUACGGAGGGUGCGAGCGUUGUCCGGAUUUAUUGGGUUUAAAGGGUGCGUAGGCGGCCGUUAAGUCCGGGUGAAGCCCGCUGCUCAACAGCGGAACUGCCCUGGAUACUGGCGGGCUUGAGUACAGACGAGGUUGGCGGAAUGGACCGAGUAGCGGUGAAAUGCAUAGAUACGGUCCAGAACCCCGAUUGCGAAGGCAGCUGACUAGGCUGUUACUGACGCUGAGGGCACGACAGCGUGGGGAGCGAAC